UACGUAGGGGGCUAGCGUUGUCCGGAAUCAUUGGGCGUAAAGAGCGUGUAGGCGGCUCGGUAAGUCCGCUGUAAAAGUCAAAGGCUCAACCUUUGAAUGUCAGUGGAUACUGCCGGGCUAGAGUCCGGAAGAGGCGAGUGGAAUUCCUGGUGUAGCGGUGAAAUGCGCAGAUAUCAGGAGGAACACCGAUGGCGAAGGCAGGUCUCUGGGCAUUAACUGACGCUGAGGAGCGAAAGCAUGGGGAGCGAACAGG
rnacentral:rRNA from 1 species